rnacentral:rRNA from 1 species
CAAUAGCGUAUAUUUAAGUUGUUGCAGUUAAAAAGCUCGUAGUUGGAUUUCUGGGAGGGUGCCGCCGUCCGGCGUGUCCGUGUGCAGUGGCGCCCUUCCAUCCUUCUGUUAGCGUCUCUUGGCAUUCAUUUGCUGGUGGCGGGCUCAGAUAUUUUACCUUGAGAAAAUUAGAGUGUUUCAGGCAGGCUAGGCCGGAAUACAUUAGCAUGGAAUAAUGGAAUAGGACUACGGUCUCUUUGUUGGUUUGAGGGACUGCAGUAAUGAUUAAUAGGGAUAGUUGGGGGCAUUAGUAUUUAAUUGUCAGAGGUGGAAUUCUCAGAUUUGUUAAAGACUAACUUAUGCGAAAGCAUUUGCCAAGGAUGUUUUCAUUAA